UUUCUGCUUCCUUGCUUUAGGCGUUCAUUUCUUCUUACUUCUCUUCAGCUCGCCUUUCUGCUCUUUGAGUGGAACCCUAACUUAGAUCUUCUCAAGAAGAAGACUAAACUCAUCCAAGAUCCUCAUUCCACCAUUUCUUUCAGUUCAAACCUCUAUCUUUUGCUUUGAUGCUCCAGUUCACACCCUUGGGGAGAAGGCUAAGUCAGGGAAGGUAGGAAUAAUAAAUCCUUCAACCUACAGCUUGAAGAGUAAUGACGAAAAUGAGGUUGCAGAGCAAGACACUACUCAGGAAGGAGAGACGGAUGCUUAGUAGUAGCCUUGGGUUAGGUCUCUAGAUAAAGUUUAGAUUUUGGUUGAUUUUGUGAAACUGUUUGGACUAUGUAUUUU